rnacentral:rRNA from 1 species
AAAAUGAAGAGUUUGAUCAUGGCACAGAUUGAACGCUGGCGGCAGGCCUAACACAUGCAAGUCGAACGGUAACAGGAAUCAGCUUGCUGAUUCGCUGACGAGUGGCGGACGGGUGAGUAAUGUCUGGGAAACUGCCCAAUGGAUGGGGAUAACUACUGGAAACGGUAGCUAAUACCGCAUAACGUCGCAAGACCAAAGAGGGGGACCUUCGGGCCUCUUGCCAUCGGAUGUGCCCAGAUGGGAUUAGCUAGUAGGUGGGGUAACGGCUCACCUAGGCGACGAUCCCUAGCUGGUCUGAGAGGAUGACCAGCCACACUGGAACUGAGACACGGUCCAGACUCCUACGGGAGGCAGCAGUGGGGAAUAUUGCACAAUGGGCGCAAGCCUGAUGCAGCCAUGCCGCGUGUAUGAAGAAGGCCUUCGGGUUGUAAAGUACUUUCAGCGGGGAGGAAGGGAGUAAAGUUAAUACCUUUGCUCAUUGACGUUACCCGCAGAAGAAGCACCGGCUAACUCCGUGCCAGCAGCCGCGGUAAUACGGAGGGUGCAAGCGUUAAUCGGAAUUACUGGGCGUAAAGCGCACGCAGGCGGUCUGUUAAGUCAGAUGUGAAAUCCCCGGGCUCAACCUGGGAACUGCAUCUGAUACUGGCAGGCUUGAGUCUCGUAGAGGGGGGUAGAAUUCCAGGUGUAGCGGUGAAAUGCGUAGAGAUCUGGAGGAAUACCGGUGGCGAAGGCGGCCCCCUGGACGAAGACUGACGCUCAGGUGCGAAAGCGUGGGGAGCAAACAGGAUUAGAUACCCUGGUAGUCCACGCCGUAAACGAUGUCGACUUGGAGGUUGUGCCCUUGAGGCGUGGCUUCCGGAGCUAACGCGUUAAGUCGACCGCCUGGGGAGUACGGCCGCAAGGUUAAAACUCAAAUGAAUUGACGGGGGCCCGCACAAGCGGUGGAGCAUGUGGUUUAAUUCGAUGCAACGCGAAGAACCUUACCUGGUCUUGACAUCCACGGAAGUUUUCAGAGAUGAGAAUGUGCCUUCGGGAACCGUGAGACAGGUGCUGCAUGGCUGUCGUCAGCUCGUGUUGUGAAAUGUUGGGUUAAGUCCCGCAACGAGCGCAACCCUUAUCCUUUGUUGCCAGCGGUCCGGCCGGGAACUCAAAGGAGACUGCCAGUGAUAAACUGGAGGAAGGUGGGGAUGACGUCAAGUCAUCAUGGCCCUUACGACCAGGGCUACACACGUGCUACAAUGGCGCAUACAAAGAGAAGCGACCUCGCGAGAGCAAGCGGACCUCAUAAAGUGCGUCGUAGUCCGGAUUGGAGUCUGCAACUCGACUCCAUGAAGUCGGAAUCGCUAGUAAUCGUGGAUCAGAAUGCCACGGUGAAUACGUUCCCGGGCCUUGUACACACCGCCCGUCACACCAUGGGAGUGGGUUGCAAAAGAAGUAGGUAGCUUAACCUUCGGGAGGGCGCUUACCACUUUGUGAUUCAUGACUGGGGUGAAGUCGUAACAAGGUAACCGUAGGGGAACCUGCGGUUGGAUCACCUCCUUACCUUAAAGAAGC